UACGGAGGGGGCGAGCGUUAUUCGGAAUUAUUGGGCGUAAAGGGCGCGUAGGCGGCUUGACAAGUCACUUGUGAAAUCUCCGGGCUUAACCCGGAACGGUCAGAUGAUACUGCUUUGCUAGAGUGCGGAAGGGGCAAUCGGAAUUCUUGGUGUAGCGGUGAAAUGCGUAGAUAUCAAGAGGAACACCUGAGGUGAAGACGGGUUGCUGGGCCGACACUGACGCUGAUAGCGCGAAAGCCAGGGGAGCAAACGGG
rnacentral:rRNA from 1 species